rnacentral:rRNA from 1 species
UACGUAGGGGGCAAGCGUUGUCCGGAUUCAUUGGGCGUAAAGAGCUCGUAGGCGGUUCGGCAAGUCGGGUGUGAAACCUCCAGGCUCAACCUGGGGACGCCACCCGAUACUGCUGUGACUUGAGUCCGGUAGGGGACCACGGAAUUCCUGGUGUAGCGGUGAAAUGCGCAGAUAUCAGGAGGAACACCGGUGGCGAAGGCGGUGGUCUGGGCCGGCACUGACGCUGAGGAGCGAAAGCGUGGGGAGCGAACAGG